GUGGGGAAUUUUGGACAAUGGGCGCAAGCCUGAUCCAGCAAUGCCGCGUGCAGGAAGAAGGCCUUCGGGUUGUAAACUGCUUUUGUACGGAACGAAACGGUCCGGGUUAAUACCCUGGGCUAAUGACGGUACCGUAAGAAUAAGCACCGGCUAACUACGUGCCAGCAGCCACGGUAAUACGUAGGGUGCAAGCGUUAAUCGGAAUUACUGGGCGUAAAGCGUGCGCAGGCGGUUUUGUAAGACAGGCGUGAAAUCCCCGGGCUCAACCUGGGAAUUGCGCUUGGGACUGCAAGGAUGGAGUGCGGCAGAGGGGGAUGGAAUUCCGCGUGUAGCAGUGAAAUGCGUAGAUAUGCGGAGGAACACCGAUGGCGAAGGCAAUCCCCUGGGCCUGCACUGACGCUCAUGCACGAAAGCGUGGGGAGCAAACAGGAUUAGAAACCCGGGUAGUCC
rnacentral:rRNA from 1 species